rnacentral:lncRNA from 1 species
AAAAUCUCCCAACGUCUCUCUCCAUCCACUCCCAACAGACCCUGCUCCACUACCUCUCCUCUCUCUCGUACCAGAAAAGACAAAAAAAGAAAAUAGAUAAAUGGGAACGUUACUCUCUCACUCUCAGACCACUAUUCACUCUCUCAAAAAAAAGACAAUCUCUCAAUUUCCUCUCAACUCUGAGCUCACACAAUCCCCUUCCUCUCUCGCCCCAAAUCUCUCACUCUCAAUUCUCAGCUGAAACUCUCACCGACAAACCCUCCUCUCUAAAAUCCGCCGCCACCACCUUCUACCACCACUAAACACUCACCAACCGUCAACCCUCCGAAUCCUUCAUCAUCUUCGUCAUCGCAACUCAACCGUUCACCGCCACCCAAAACCCCUACCGUCGCGGCGACUUCCACCUUCAAACCCUUAAACCACCUUCGAAACACCGUCAAAACCGCCGUCGCUCUCACCGGCAAACUCUCUCCAUCUACCUUCAAAUCGCGCCCUCACCGACAAACCCACACGAAACCUACUCAUCUCACAAUCUCCAAGCCGUCACCAUCCAUCAUCGCUUCCGUCCACAAUCGCGACCCAUCUUCACCGCUAAAACCUAAUCUCUAAAUCCGCCGUCAUCACCGUACCGAAGCCGUCGGUGACUUGUCAGUUCGCAACUAUCUUCGACCUUCAUCAACAGUUUGGGAUUGUGUUGUGUAAUUUUUCUGUUUUUUCAGGGAAAGUCUGAAGCUUUAGAGCCAUGGGUCCAGCACCGGUGACGAUUACAACUAGCCUCUGUUGAUAGCUUCAAAAGGAUUUUCUUAUGAUUCUGGAAACGGUUUCAAGUCGCGCUGAUUCCUCUUCUUCCGCAACAACCACAAAGACCGUUAUUACUCUACCACUCUCAGCACGGCGUCGAAACCGCUUCUUGUCCACAUUAAAGCAAGCCGGGCAGAUUGUUGAAACACCAUGGAUACGGGGAUUGGGUGGAAGAUCUCAGGCUGUUGCUGAUGAUGUACUCCUGAAAUAAGCUCUUGACAACUAUCCGUCUGUACGGUAACAGAUCGAUUUAAGCUUAUUUUAGAAUUAUGAUUGUUUCAUGACAGUAUUUGAUAUCUCUGGAUAAUGUGUGUGUUUGUGAUUUUUAUCUUCCGAUUCGUUCUGGUGGUAGAUGGUAUCAACAUAUUUUAUGCUGAAAAUUUCGUUGAGGAUUGUAAAUUUUUUCUCUGAAUAUUGUUACUCUGUGUCGUUACUGUUUCGUUUUGUGUUGAUACUACAAUAGCCCUGUAUAUAAUCACAAUUUGCGGUGACAUACUUUGAUACCAUUUUUAUUGUACAUAUUCAACUCUUGAUUAUGACUUGUUUUAGCUAUAUCAAAAGGAUUUGUUUUGUAUUGCCUGUGAAGUUUAUAGUUGCUUGUAGUAUCUCGUUCAUUUUUCAUUUGAAUUGAGAUUUGGAUUAUGAAUACCAACGUGCUUGCUUAUACACAACUUAUGCGACUUUCAGUUUGGAUUAUAUUUGGGAAGAUAUUUUAAGUGGGAACUGUAUUAAAAUUCUGCUCUUGAAUUAUUAGAUUAGUUUGUGGAUGGAUCACUAUUGUUGGUGCAAAUGAGUUAUUAGCCCACGGCAUUAUCAGAAUUCUAAUAAUCUCAUGAUUGGUUUACAACGAUUUUCUCAAAUGCAUGUUGUUUUUAUUGCUGAAAUUUAAAUUGGAUUAUCAAUUGCCUAAUGGACUUUAUAGUGUAUAUAUAAGUCUACUUUAAUCAUAAGGCAUNAGUUCCUUCCUUGAAAACACAAACUUUAGAACCUACCCUUGGGAAUUUCUAGUAAUCAGAAAAACCCGUAUUUCUUCCUGUUAUCCUGACGUACCCGACGUGUGAAUAAUCUUAAGUCUGUAUUCCUUUGCAAAAAACAUGGCAAAAUUUCAUGCAUUUGCAUAUCAUCAACAUGCAUUGCAUAUCAUCUCCCAGAAACAAAAUCUCACACCAUGUUCUGCCCUUUGUCCAGUAAACGCUGACUACUCGACACCGGUACGAGACACGCCGCAAUUACAAGAUGACACUUGAACAGCUUGAAGCUAACCAAGUUUCGAUGAGGACCGACAUUGACUCCAUGCAGGCAAAGAUGGAUCGCUUGCUUGAGACCAUGUUACUCUUGGCUCAGAAGGAGAAGGAUGCUGAGACUAACGCCGAAGCCAGGAAAAUUGCUGCCCAAUUUGGAUCACCAUCGCUCAGUAUCCCUGGAGUGAUUGACCUUGAUGGUAACCCUAAUCAGCCUAGAGAAGGACCGAUCCCUAUUCCGAUCCCAAUGGACAAUAUAAAACCCCACGAGCAUUCUACUGUAUCUGCUCGACACGGAUCUGUGAUAUGUGAUGAAGAUCCAUAUGACGCUUUCUUCAUGCCACAGCCCGUCCAGCCUGCUGUUGGAGGUCUCCCAGACCCAGCUGUUGACAGACUCCAUGCGUUGGAGGAAAAGUUUAAGUCCUUGGAGGUUCACACUACUCCCGGUUUGGACGCCGUCGAUAUGUGCUUGGUGCCAGGCCUUGUGAUUCCACAGAAGUUCAAAGUCCCGGACUUUGACAAGUACAAAGGGAUCAGCUGCCCAAGAACACACCUCAGAGCUUACUGCCGCAAAAUGGCCGCCCACAUCAGUAAUGAUCAACUCCUGAUUCAUUACUUCCAAGAUAGUCUCAGUGGGGCAUCUUUGGAGUGGUACAUGCAACUGGAGAGAGGACAGGUCCAAUCAUGGAGAGACCUUGCUGAAGCAUUCCUCAGGCAUUAUCAGUACAACACUGAUCUAGCACCCAAUCGCACCCAACUGCAAGACAUGACUCAACGCAACAAUGAGUCAUUCAAAGAAUACGCCCAGCGGUGGAGAGAGCUAGCAGCUCGUGUUCAACCUCCUCUCUUUGACAAAGAGCUAAUUGACAUGUUUAUGGGAACCCUACACACCCAGUACAUGGAGAAGAUGGUAGGAUCCAGUUUCCCAACUUUUGCUGAGGUCGUCUCCGUGGGAGAACGAAUCGAGAGCCAGAUCAAGAAGGGGAAACUACCUUGCGCUGCUAAUGCUUCAAGUGGGAUGAAGAAACCUUAUCCUAAUCUCCCAAAGAAGCCAGAAGGUCAAACCAAUUCCAUAAUGGGAGGAGGAGGAUAUAGGGCACGCCCGUAUGCUCCUAUGCCUUAUAAUCAGGUUGCCGCUGUCGUCCCGACACCAUAUCAGCCUCCAUAUCAGCAACCCCAUCAACAACAAUAUCAACAGCCUUAUCAACAAACAGCUUAUCAGCAUCAGAAUCAACAUCGACGUGCUCCACAACCACGUCCCCCCAAUCAGCAGAGGGCAAGGAGGCCAGAAAGGCAUUUCGAUCCUUUGCCAGUAUCAUAUAGCAAGAUCCUCCCCUACCUGCUAAAGGAUGGAUCGGUCGUUCUGAAGGAGAUAACACCUGUAACUCCACCAUAUCCUCCAGGCUACGACGCCAAUGCUCACUGUGAGUAUCACAUGGGUGCUCCAGGGCACACAAUAGAGAACUGUAAGGCUUUCAAGCACAAGGUUCAAGAUUUGGUUGACAGUAAAGCACUUACAUUCACGCCAGUGAGGCCAAACGUUGCAACAAACCCCAUGCCGGCGCAUGCAGAAUCAAGUGAAGCUCGAAGGUAAAGCUUCCCACCGGCCUAAACAAGCAGAGCAAUUCCGCUGAAGAACCCAGAGAUGAAGGCUUGUUCAUUUGAAUGAAGGCAAUCCUGAUGCCAUUUUUACCAUUUUGCAUUCUUGUAAUUUGAUCUUGUUUGUCUAAGUACUGUACGCUUUAAACAUUGUUAUUUGUAUUUGGUUUUGUUAAUGGGAUGGUUAUGCAUGCUUUGAAUCAAUCUUUCNGGAUGAAACCCUGCUGAUGAUGUACAGGCAUUGUUUCAAAUCCCCAAACACUGGAGAGAUAAGGAGUUAAUCCCUAGUCAACCACUUCGAGCCUAGAAGUAGGAGUUUCUUUCAGAUCUAAAAAACCUUUACGCUUAACCUGGGGCAGGGUAGUGUUCAGUUAACCUGACUACACAUACAAAUUACAAAGGUGAAGUAUCCCAUACGAGGAUCAACCAUAUGACACUCUUCACACACAUCAUGAAGUGUCGAAGGAACCAUACAAAUCCAGAAUCUAUGUCGGUUGUUCUUCAAUGACCAAUGUCCUGGCAGUCACAAUUAAAAAAAAGGUCGAAGAAAGAGCCCGCUAAGUCGAACACCCUAAAAGGAGACUUAGGCAAAAAACAGGGGCAAUCCCGAUGGAUUAAAGCUUCAAACAAAGCGGUCCAUGCAAAAGUUAGGGAUCAAAACAAAAAAUCGAAAGAGACAAUGAAAGUCCUCAACAAAAGCAAAACAAGAUUCAGUGACCACCAUACCAAAAUCAAAGGGUCGCCGACAUCCAAAAAAACGAAAUAAGGUGGCUGCCAUUCCAAGGGACUUUGAACCACCAUCUUUAUCCUUACACAUGCAAGAGAAGAAUGUGUGUGAAUUAACUGAACAUAGGAUUGGAGAUCAUCAUGAAGAAGGGGUGGGUUAAAAUAAACUUUGAGCCUUAUAUCCUUUUGUUUCAAAACCAUCGACCAACACAGCAACGCCUCAAAAGACCAAGUUGAGUAGUGGUUUAUUCUGAAAGCAUACAUACAAGUUAGUAACUGACUCCUAAAUAUUUUCCAAUAUUCUCCUCUCACUAUAUCACUCACACACUAGCUAAAUCAAGCACCGCGUUUGGACACAUGAUCCACUCGCCACACACUACCACAACACUUCCCAAAUGAAUGAUUAUUUUUCAAAACUUGCAUAACUGUUGCAUUAACAUCACCAUUUCGUAGAUAACAAUUCUUAAUUGUCAGUCAGUGCUUGACAUCGGAAAAUUCCAACAAGGAGUAAUUCAACGGGCACUUGAUUGUUGGUGCUGACACGAAUCCAGACCAUCCUGUGAAUCAGGGGCAUGGCAUCUUUUGAUCAUAUUGACCUAAGAAGUAGUCUGUGUAAGACAAAUCUCCAAGCAUCGGUUGAUCAGGGAGAAAAACACUUCAGUACUCGGCCCGUCUGAAGCAGGUCCCUCAAAGGCUAAUCAGGGGCAGACCAUAGCCAGAUUUGGACAUCAGGAAACAAACUCAGACCAUGUCAUGGGAUAAUCACUCCUAAGGUUUCUUGCAGGGAGAAUUCCUUUGAACACCCUACAAACAGGGGCAAGACAAGUUGCAAGGGGCAAAAUUCCCUUCAUAUCUUCAAGACAGUCAGGCAGAUUGCGUCAAACAUUAGUGACUGCUUGAAUUCACAACCAAAAUGUCAAAAGUUCGUACCAGUACAACAUCAUGCCUUGACAAGAAUCCUUGAGGCACGUCAAAAGCACAAUCAUCAUGCGCUGAUCACGUCGCUAUGCUCAGUUACAAGCUGGCCAAACACUUCAGAAGAAGAAACCAAGAUCUUCUCAAAGACAAAUACUCAACAUAUCAGCAAGAGAUCAAACCUGGGGCACCAAGAGUAUCCACAUCCAUUUCGUGUUCAUCAUAUCAUCAACUACUGAGUGUCGGGAAUGUCAGAUCCUUUCACCAAUCAAUAGCAUAUCCACAUUGACAAUUACCAAAAAAACCUAAAGCCCACAUUGUUGGCACCCACAUAAAACCAAAUAUAACCAACUUUGGUUUCCAGAAGAUGCAUUGCCUUUGAAAGGGGGGCCAAUCCCAAACAAACCAAUCAUUCUUUGCAUACAAACAUGCAUUUCAUGCAUCAUAUGCAUCACCUCAUACAUAAUACAUACAUAUCAUUCAUGUACAUAACACAAAUCAAGAUCCAAGGUUUAGUCGUAGGCAUACAGGCCAACCCUCAGUUGAGUCGUUAUUUUUCUCUGAGUGAGUUCCUACCCUACUAUCGGGCGUUCCCCAUUGAGUUACAUCCUUCAACCUUUUGUUGAUAAGAUGUUAUCCUCAGCUUAGUCAAACAAUGUUUCUUUAAACACCUAUUUUUUUUUUCACGUUGAGCGUCCCUCAAUGAGUCGUUUCCCAUAACCUUUUGUUGACAGAAAUUACAUCUCCCCAGAGAACAUUGGCUCUGCAACCUUUUGUUGUUGAUACCCCCAAGCAAGUCUUACCCAAUAAUGUCCCAAUACUACCCAACAAAUCGGGUUUACUGGACUUUGACAGUAGCCUUAUUUUUCCAAUAUUUUUCUCACUACCAUCCUUUUGGUGAAAGUCCAUGGAGGAAUAAUACCAGUCAUCACCUUGUUUAUGAUCACCGUUAUCCUUUUGGUAAUGGUAAAUUCUUGACAUUUGUGAUCUUACUGUCAUCCUUUUGGUGUCGAAGAUCAUUGAAGUUUUAAGCUAACCUUCAUCCUUUUGAAUCACCUUGUUUAUGAUCACCGUUAUCCUUUUGGUAAUGGUAAAUUCUUGACAUUUGUGAUCUUACUGUCAUCCUUUUGGUGUCGAAGAUCAUUGAAGUUUUAAGCUAACCUUCAUCCUUUUGGUGAUGGUGACCUCUGCAAUUAUUACACCCCACUGUCAUCCUUUUGGUGUCAGUAAUAUUUGAAGUCAUUAUAACUUAUUAUCAUCCUUUUGGUGGUAACGAGUUUCGAAGUUAUGAUUCCACCUUCAUCCUUUUGGUGAUGGUGAUUGUUGAUUCAUUAUCAUCCUUUUGGUGAUAACGAGUUCUGUUGUUUGUAGCGCCUUCAUCCUUUUGGUGAUGGUGACUAUUGACUUAUUAUCAUCCUUUUGGUGGUAACAAGUUUUGUCGUUUUAACAAUACCUUCAUCCUUUUGGUGAUGGUGAGUGUUGACUUCUUAUCAUCCUUUUGGUGAUAACAAGUUUGUGUCUUGAUCUUACCUUCAUCCUUUUGGUGAUGGCGAUCAUUUGUGUUGUCAGCUUAUUAUCAUCCUUUUGGUGGUAACUAAGUUUUGUCGUUUGACAAAUACCUUCAUCCUUUUGGUGAUGGUGAUUGUUGACUUCUUAUCAUCCUUUUGGUGAUAACAAGUUUGUGUUUUGAUCUUACCUUCAUCCUUUUGGUGAUGGUGAUCAUUUGCGUGUGUGCUUCUUAUCAUCCUUUUGGUGGUAACAAGUUUUAUCUUUUGAUUAUACCUUCAUCCUUUUGGUGAUGGUGGUUAUCAUCCUUUUGGUGAUAACAAGUUUGUGUCUUGAUCCUACCUUCAUCCUUUUGGUGAUGGUGAUCAAUUGUGUUGUGUUCUUAUUAUCAUCCUUUUGGUGAUAACAAGUUUGUGUCCUGAUUAUACCUUCAUCCUUUUGGUGAUGGUGAUUAUUGAAGUUAUCUGACUUAUUAUCAUCCUUUUGGUGAUAACAAGCUUUGUUGUUGGAUCUUACCUUCAUCCUUUUGGUGACGGUGAUCUUUGAAGUUUAUGAGUUAACUAUCAUCCUUUUGGUGAUAGCCUUGAUCCUAUACUCUCAGUAAUGGAAAAAUUUACCAGAAUGACCAUCAUCCUUUUGGUGAUAGAAAUCUGUGAAUUGUGUCUAACUUUCAUCCUUUAGGUGAUAGCGAGAUUUGUUGUUGAUCUGACCAUCAUCCUUUUGGUGAUGGCGAUCUUUGUUGCACCCACUGUAACCAUUAUCCUUUUGGUGAUGACUACCUUAAAAGCUCAGCUUAUCCAUCAUCCUUUUGGUGAUGACAAUCCUCAAAAUCAUGGUGAAUCUCUGUCAUCCUUUUGGUGUCAGAAAACCAGUCCCACCUUUGUCUUCACAUCAGAAAUAACCUGUGCCAGAUUUGAAUGUUGACUCGAGGGUUGGCAUUGAUCGAACAUCCUACCCCCAUUACCUUGGCAUCCAUUGCAUUUUCAUCUGCAUCUCUCCAUUGCAUUUCAAAGGACAAAAUUUGGAUCCUUUAGUAUUUAAUUACCUUCCACCACGAAUGUAUGAUGACCUUUAUCAUUCUUACUUUCUAGUUCAAGAUAAUUAAAUAGGGGCAGCUGUCGUACCCCAAUUUUGUCCGGGCAUUUUUAAUUUUUUCAAAAUUAAUUUCAGUUUCAUUUUUGCAUCAUACGCAUAGCAUGACAUACAUUUGCAUCAUGAAUAAACACCUAAAAUGUCAGUCAGAAGGAAUUUAUUUGAGAAUACAGAAAAAAUCGGUUGAAUCGUUAAAAUUUGAGAAAAGACUGUAUUUUUAAUAAGUAGGUUUUGUGCUGACAAUUUUAAUGUGACUGGUUUAUUUAUUAUUAUUAUUUUUUUUAUUUUUUUAUUUUCUUUCUUUUUUCGAAUUAAAUUUGUACUCGAUUUUUUUUAAUUGGUCAAAUAUUAGUUAGAGUUUUUUUUUAAAUAUUAUUUAAUUAAAUAUUAGUUAAUGUUUUUUAUAUUAAUUAGUUUUUUUAUAUUAGUUAGAUUUUUUCUAAAAUAGUAGUUAAUUUUAGUUUUUAAAUAUUAAUUAGUUUGUUUAGUUAGAUUUUGUAAAAUAUUAGUUAGAGUAUUUUUUUUUUAAUAUUAAUUAGUUUUUCUAAAUAUUAGUUAGUUUUUAAAUAUUAGUUAGAUUUUUCUUUUUAAUAUUAAUUAGUUUUUUUUAGUGUUAAUUAGUUUAAGAGUUAGUUAGCUUUUUUAUUAGUUAAUUUUUAAAUAGUAGUUAGUUAGAGUUUUUAAAAUAUUAAUUAGUUUUUUUAUUUUUUAUGAAUAUAUGUAUUUUACAUUGGAUUCCAAUCCAUAAAAAAACAAAAAAAACAAAAUCUCCCAACGUCUCUCUCCAUCCACUCCCAACAGACCCUGCUCCACUACCUCUCCUCUCUCUCGUACCAGAAAAGACAAAAAAAGAAAAUAGAUAAAUGGGAACGUUACUCUCUCACUCUCAGACCACUAUUCACUCUCUCAAAAAAAAGACAAUCUCUCAAUUUCCUCUCAACUCUGAGCUCACACAAUCCCCUUCCUCUCUCGCCCCAAAUCUCUCACUCUCAAUUCUCAGCUGAAACUCUCACCGACAAACCCUCCUCUCUAAAAUCCGCCGCCACCACCUUCUACCACCACUAAACACUCACCAACCGUCAACCCUCCGAAUCCUUCAUCAUCUUCGUCAUCGCAACUCAACCGUUCACCGCCACCCAAAACCCCUACCGUCGCGGCGACUUCCACCUUCAAACCCUUAAACCACCUUCGAAACACCGUCAAAACCGCCGUCGCUCUCACCGGCAAACUCUCUCCAUCUACCUUCAAAUCGCGCCCUCACCGACAAACCCACACGAAACCUACUCAUCUCACAAUCUCCAAGCCGUCACCAUCCAUCAUCGCUUCCGUCCACAAUCGCGACCCAUCUUCACCGCUAAAACCUAAUCUCUAAAUCCGCCGUCAUCACCGUACCGAAGCCGUCGGUGACUUGUCAGUUCGCAACUAUCUUCGACCUUCAUCAACAGUUUGGGAUUGUGUUGUGUAAUUUUUCUGUUUUUUCAGGGAAAGUCUGAAGCUUUAGAGCCAUGGGUCCAGCACCGGUGACGAUUACAACUAGCCUCUGUUGAUAGCUUCAAAAGGAUUUUCUU